rnacentral:tRNA from 1 species
UGCUUUCUAGUUUUAAUCGUAAAAUAUAGAUUUUGUAAAUCUAAGAUAAGUUUGAGCAA